GCUAACUCCGUGCCAGCAGCCGCGGUAAUACGGAGGAUCCAAGCGUUAUCCGGAAUCAUUGGGUUUAAAGGGUCCGUAGGCGGGAUAAUAAGUCAGUGGUGAAAGUCUGCAGCUUAACUGUAGAACUGCCAUUGAUACUGUUGUCCUUGAGUAAUUAUGAAGUGGUUAGAAUAUGUAGUGUAGCGGUGAAAUGCAUAGAUAUUACAUAGAAUACCGAUUGCGAAGGCAGAUCACUAAUAAUGUACUGACGCUGAUGGACGAAAGCGUAGGUAGCGAACAGGAUUAGAUACCCUGGUAGUC
rnacentral:rRNA from 1 species